GAUUUUUUAAUUCAGAACUAUAUUUUUAAUUCAGAACUAUAUCUUUGGUGAACAUGGUAUUCAGAUUCAAAUGUGUUUUGCAAGAAUGUAUGUCUCAUGCUUGUAAGCUGAAGACUAGCAGUCUUAAAGACUGCAAUGUAUGCAGAGUUUAAAAUAUGGUAACUGAGAGCAGAGCUAAAAAUGCAUAGGCUGACAUUUAAGGAAUGAAGUCACAACACCUGUCAAACAUAAAAACAUGCUAAAAACAACUACAUGGGAGGGGUUUCAACUUUUAGAGAACUGUAUAUUAGGUUGCAUUCUGAAAAAGACUCUUUAGUUGCCUGGCCACCAACUCGGCCUUAUUGUUGUAUGCAAUAAAGUCAUCUUUUGGCAAUGGAACCCUCUGCUGAAAAUUAUUUUUCAUAAUCACUAAAAAAAUCCACAACAUUUGGCGACGAGGAUGGGAUUGGAAAGGAGCAUGGAGGUGGAUGACCGUUGUGGGCUGAGUUUGGAUGAGCAGCAUACACAGGACCAGGUCUCUUGUAUACUGGAAAAAAUCUGGGAAGCAAAGGAUUUAUGGGAUAUGAUGGAAAAAAGCUACAAAGCCAGUAGGAUACAUCCAUUAUGUUUAAGAAUCACAUUAGAAUUAUACGUUUAAGUAAAAUAAUUGGUCAAGAAAUAGUUCUCAUAAAAAGAAUAAAUGCAGAUGAUAACAACAUGCAAGAUUAAGAAGAUGUAUUAAUUGUUAAAAGAUGUAGAGAACAAAGUACUAAUUGAAGUAUCCAAUUAAUGACAUUGUAAGACUAACCAGUUGAUAUCCAGAUCCACAUUGCUAACAAAUGUUUUCCCAGAUGACAAAUACUGUAAUUGAUCUUUGCUUUAUAUAUUUAAGUAUUCAAACAGAAGAAAUAUUUGUAUGUUUUUAUGAAAUUAAACAAUAUACAAUUUGGUAUAGGAACAAAGAGGCUUUCAAAAUAAUGAGGGAAUAUAUAUUCAAUGUACUGGACAAGUGGGGUUAAUUUCUGCUACAAUAUUAUCAAAGUAAUUGGCAAUCAUAAAAUAUUAAACUUGUAUAAAAAUGAAUGAUAUUUUAUCACUGGUAACAACACAGCAGAUUUGGAAGCUAAAGAAGCCUCAGAAUGCCAUACAGAAGUAGUGCUUCUAUAGUGUUAAUACAAAAGCCUUACUUAGAAGAUAGAAGGAAAAAAAGAACACGCUGGAUGUUAGGAAUAUUUUGUGGUACCUAAAGGGGGACAAAGAAAGACAUUCAAGACAUCUAAUGUACACAUUGGGGAUAAAUCAUUCUAUUGUACAGUAAAAUGUUACCUUUCCAGAUGGGUGGUUUUAAUUUCAAAUUAAAAACAGGUAUUAAAGAACAAAUUAAAAUUAAAGAUUAAAAAAAAAAAAAAUGGGUAUUAUUCUCCAUAUUUGAGAAAUGGUCUCCAUAUCUGAAUUCAAUACUGGUUAAAUUUCUGUUCGGCAGGUAAAGUUUGUGCCAAGAGUAAUGAUAAAAAAAAUAAUGAUAGAAGAAGUAAUCCCUAGAUUUGAAAUACUAUUAGGAAUCAUUUUAUAUAAUGGAUCAGAAUUCAUUUAAAAAACAAAAAACAAAGUGAAUACUGCAACAAUAAAGAACAAAGAAAAGACUAAGAUGUGUUUACCAUCCUUAAUCAUAAAAAGUAUACCAUCCCUUCAACGUCAAACUCAGCAAAAAAAUGUGAAAGCAUGAAACUGAACUGACUGGAUGCUUUGUCUCUUGCAAUAAUGAGUGACAGACUGCAAACUAACACUGCAUGGAAUGCUUAUUGGUCGACCAAUGCCAAUACCAAUGUAUGCGCAAUACUAUAUAACAAAAAUUCAUCCCCAAAAAAGGACUUCCUCUGGAACGACUGCAGAUGGAGCUUUUGGAACAAUUACAAAUAAAGAUGAGGUCUUAUAUGAUAAAACUAACUGUAUGCAUAAGCUAUUUGUGUGCAGGAAAAAAGAAAAGGAGCCUGAUGAGGAGAUGGAGAUAAAAUGCCAUAUUAUGCCAUGGGAUCUAGUGUAUCUGAGGGUCUUCAGGAGAGAGUGACAUAAAACAAGGACCAGGGAGAGCAGCUCUAACAGCAGGCCAGGGGGAAGGAGCACAUCUGAUGUCAUCUGAGCCAUUGCACAGAGUUCCUAAAAUACUAGUCGGAGAAGAGGACAACAAAAACACGAUACAGAAGAGGAGAGCUGGGGAGAAAAGGAGAACUUAAACACAAUAAUGAAGAGGAGAGCUGAGGAAAAGAAAAUAAUAAAAGACAUGAUACAGAAGACAACAACAGAAAAAUUAAAAGCAAUUCAAGCCUACAAAGAGAUAAAAGAACGAAGAAAUGACCACUCAGGGAAUAUCAAGCAAUGGCAACAAAGUUAAGAAAAAUAUGUAAAUGAGAAGAGACUUUCAGGAGCAACAACCAAUGAAUGCAAAGCAGUGGAGUUCACAAGCAAUACACAGAGACAAAGUUGCUGGUAAUGUGUAAAGGACACACAAAGAAAACUUCAAGGAAUUAGCCAUGAAAAUUGAAAAAUAAAGCUUAUAACCAGUUUGACAAUUAUCAGCAACAUAUGGUAAAUUCACACGACUACAGUCAAUAAUCAAACUUCUCUUCAAUUAACUUUUCACCUAUCAGCAAGGAUCAGUAACACUUCAGCGAGGACCAGUAACACCAGUGAGAAUUUAUUCUACAAUAAUCUCUGCAGAACCAAAAUUUAGAUAAAAUACUGAAGAUACCAAAACAAAAAGGAGACAAGGACAUCAACAGAAGAAAAAGGACGUCAACGGAAGGAAAAAAAAAAUAUGUUGGACAUUUUAUGGGAAACAAAAAAACAUUAUGAAUGAAUAGUACAAAUGGGUAACUUUCAAAGCUAAGAGAAAUUGGUAUGAACAAUUGCUUAUUAUGCUCUAAAUCAUAAAAGGUAGGAAUAGUCAAAAGUCAACAUGAUAUUACAGGGGGGUUCGAUGUAACAAAUUGACAAAUUCUGGUGUUAUAAAAGAGAUGUUAUAAAAUUUUUAAUAAUUUGGGUGUUAGGUAUGGAAAGGGUGGACAAUGCUAUUAUAUAGUAUAGGAAAUGAAAAAAUGAAAUCAUAGCAGUGGACAUAUGAAGAUCAAACAGUAAUGUUAGCAGAAUUCUUUUGGUUUAAUUUUGAUUUAAUGGGAAAUGUUAACUUAUGGUGGUUUUGCAAUUAGAGAAGAAAUAUAUAUGUACAAGACUAAGGUUAAUUUAAGAAAUCAUCAUGAUUAUAUUGAAGUAUAUUGAACAAAAUACUGAGAAAACAAAUGAUAAAACUAAAAUAGUUUAUCCCUAAAUUGGUUUGGUAUUACCUGUUACAAUUUAAGCAAGAGAUGAGAUAAAAUCAUGGUUAGAAUAAAUAUUGAUUUAAUCUAGAAUUACUAAAUUAUAUCUACUAUAAUCAACAAAGGGUUAUUAAAUUUAACUAAUGAUGUUUUAACACUUUUAGAAAAACAAUGAGAUACUACAAAGGGGUAUAGUUUUAUUGUAUGGAGAUUAAUGUUAUGCUAAAAAUACAACAUGUAUAUUCAUUGAAGCUAUCAAUAAGCUUAAGAGUUUAGGAUAGAAACUGCAACAAAUACAGGAAGAAAGAAUCUUAAUGUGGAAUUGGUGUGAUUUAAAAUUAGGAAAAUGGGUGAUUGGUUUGUCAAAUUAUCAAAGAUAUAUUUUGGUAUGUCAAAUGAUUCAUAGGUUAAAUGAUGCAAAUGAUUAAAGGUAUGGGUUAAAGGAUGAAUAUUAUCAAAGGUAUAAGGUAAAUGAUGCAAAUUAUCAGAGGUUAAGGAUUUGCAAGUUUAAUUGGAUGGAUUGUUAUUUUAUUGUGUACUCCCUAUUUUGAAACAAAUGUUAAUGGAAAUAUCAAGAUGAAAAGUUACUUCAUAUAGGAAAUUACAAAGUGCAUCAAAAAUGGGUUUUGCAAAAGUUUGAAAAUGGUAAUAUUACAUCAGAAAAAGAUAUUAAGAAUUGAAAAGGUAUUUGACUAAUUUACACUCUUAUGAUGAAUAUUUUUAUGAGUUCUGAUUUUACAGCAACAAUGACAUAAUGAAGUAUAUUCCAUGAUCAUAAAGGUUUAUUAAUUGAAGGAGUAGGUUCUUUUACUUCUCCAAGAGAAGAUGUUUGUUCCACACUCCACCAAAGUGCGGCAGCAUGAUUUAGUCAUUGGUAAAGGGAAAGAUGGCUUAGUUGGGCCAUUAAUUAGCUUGACUUAAUUGAACUGGACUAUGAAGUUGCACUUUGGGUGAGACUUGUGAAAGUCUCAAAGGGUGGAAUGAAGAAGAUUUUUUAAUUCAGAACUAUAUUUUUAAUUCAGAACUAUAUCUUUGGUGAACAUGGUAUUCAGAUUCAAAUGUGUUUUGCAAGAAUGUAUGUCUCAUGCUUGUAAGCUGAAGACUAGCAGUCUUAAAGACUGCAAUGUAUGCAGAGUUUAAAAUAUGGUAACUGAGAGCAGAGCUAAAAAUGCAUAGGCUGACAUUUAAGGAAUGAAGUCACAACACCUGUCAAACAUAAAAACAUGCUAAAAACAACUACAUGGGAGGGGUUUCAACUUUUAGAGAACUGUAUAUUAGGUUGCAUUCUGAAAAAGACUCUUUAGUUGCCUGGCCACCAACUCGGCCUUAUUGUUGUAUGCAAUAAAGUCAUCUUUUGGCAAUGGAA